CCUAGUAGUGCCCACCCCAAAAGCUCUCAUUGCCCUCACCCAGGGUGCAGGAUCCCAGACAGAGCGCUGGAGUUCCUCAGGACGUCCCAGCCCAUUCCAGGAAGACUCCUUGCAUGCAGAUUCUCCAGAGGAGAAGGUGGGCUGUCAGAGGGGAAAAGUUCUGAUGCAAACCUCUUCUGCUUCAUAGAUGGGAACCCCGAGUUCCAGAGGGAAUGUUCCACAGUGGUCAAGGGGCAAGUGGAGCAACCCACCCAAGGACGUGCAGGGAGUUGGUGGAACCCAGAAGAAUGCCCAGGUUUCCUGGCUGCAUGCCCUGGGUUCUUUCUGUGGCCCUCACUGGGCACUGGGGUUUGGGAGCUCCUCUACGUGGCACUCCUGGCAUCUCCUCUGUGGCCACUGCGGCCCUGGCUGUGCUGUGGAAUUGACCAUGAACUCUAUGAGACCAGGAGCCUUGUGGCAGGUGAAAAGCUGAGAGGGGUUGCAGCAGUGAUUCUCUAUCUUGCCUGCAUGUCGGAGUUGCCUGGAGAGUUUUGGAAAAUCACUGAUGUGCAGGCCCUGUGCAAACAGAGAUGAAUACAAUUGAACUGGCCUGAUUCCAUAGAAUCAAGUAAGCUUCACUUAGUCUUUGUUAGAGGCUCAGUGCCAGUUAUUUUUCUUAAACCUCCCCUAAAUGAUUCUAAUAUGCAGCCAGGAUUGAGAACUCCUGGUCUCUAGAGAUGUUAAGAAGUUGCAAGAGGGUUUAGAGCCAAAUUCAACCCAUAGAUACAUUGUUUGGCCUGCACCGUGUUUAAAAAUAAUUGUGAAUUUGUUGCCCAACAUUUUUAAAUUGGGAGCUGAAAUUUUUUAUGAAAAAUAUCUAGAGGCCAGGUGCGGUGGCUCACACCUGUAAUCCCAGUGCUUUGGGAGGCCGAGGCAGGCAGAUCACUUGUGGUCAGGAGUUUGAGACCAGCCUGGCCAACAUGGUGAAACCCUGUCUCUACUAAAAAUACAAAAAUUAGCCAGGCAUGGUGACAUGUGCCUGUGAUACUAGCUACUUGGGAGGCUAAGGCAGGAGAAUCACUUAAACCUGGGAGGUGGAAGCUGCAGUGAGCCAAGAUUAUACCACUGUACUCCAGCCUGGGCAACAGCCCGAGACUCUGUCUCAAAAUAAAAAAAUAAAUAAAAAUAAAAAUAUCCGGAUUUCUGGCUUUCUGUUGUCCCCUUUGACUGCCCUCACUACUCCUGAGAAAGUCUGAUUCUGAGAUCACCCUCUACCUUCUCCUCCACUGCUCCUUUAAGAUGCUUUUCCAAGCAGGUGUCCACAUGGAUUCCAGUGGGCACAGGAGGCUUUCCCCUUUUAAAGAACUUCUCAGUUCCACUUUCUUCCUGCCACCUCCUGGCAUCCAGCUUUUCAGAUGGAAAUCAGUUUCCAGGAUGGUGGGGCUUUCUGCA
rnacentral:lncRNA from 1 species